GAUGAACGCUGGCGGCGUGCCUAAUACAUGCAAGUCGAACGCGCAGCGAAAGGUGCUUGCACCUUUCAAGCGAGUGGCGAACGGGUGAGUAACACGUGGAUAACCUGCCUCAAGGCUGGGGAUAACAUUUGGAAACAGAUGCUAAUACCGAAUAAAACUUAGUAUCGCAUGAUACAAAGUUGAAAGGCGCUACGGCGUCACCUAGAGAUGGGUCCGCGGUGCAUUAGUUAGUUGGUGGGGUAAAGGCCGUACCAAGACAAUGAUGCAUAGCCGAGUUGAGAGACUGAUCGGCCACAUUGGGACUGAGACACGGCCCAAACUCCUACGGGAGGCUGCAGUAGGGAAUC
rnacentral:rRNA from 1 species